CCUACGGGGGGCAGCAGUGGGGAAUAUUGGACAAUGGGCGAAAGCCUGAUCCAGCCAUGCCGCGUGUGUGAAGAAGGCCUUCGGGUUGUAAAGCACUUUCAGUGGGGAAGAAAGCCUUGGGGCUAAUACCCUCGAGGAAGGACAUCACCCACAGAAGAAGCACCGGCUAACUCCGUGCCAGCAGCCGCGGUAAUACGGAGGGUGCGAGCGUUAAUCGGAAUUACUGGGCGUAAAGCGCGCGUAGGCGGUCUGAUAAGCCGGUUGUGAAAGCCCCGGGCUCAACCUGGGAACGGCAUCCGGAACUGUCAGGCUAGAGUGCAGGAGAGGAAGGUAGAAUUCCCGGUAUAGCGGUGAAAUGCGUAGAGAUCGGGAGGAAUACCAGUGGCGAAGGCGGCCUUCUGGACUGACACUGACGCUGAGGUGCGAAAGCGUGGGUAGCAAACAGGAUUAGAUACCCGAGUAGUC
rnacentral:rRNA from 1 species